rnacentral:rRNA from 1 species
GACGAACGCUGGCGGUGUGCCUAAUACAUGCAAGUUGAGCGCUGACGCAUGGUACUUGUACUAACUGGAUGAGCAGCGAACGGGUGAGUAACGCGUGGGUCAUCUGCCUUUGAGCGGGGGACAACAUUUGGAAACGAAUGCCAAUACCGCAUAAAACCUCUAAACACAGGAUUCAAGUUUGAAAGAUGCAAUUGCAUCACUCAUAGAUGAUCCCGCGUUGUAUUAGCUAGUUGGUGAGGUAAAGGCCCACCAAGGCGAUGAUACAUAGUCGACCUGAGAGGGUGAUCGGCCACAUUGGGACUGGGACACGGCCCAAACUCCUACGGGAGGCAGCAGUAGGGAAUCUUCGGCAAUGGGCGGAAGUCUGACCGAACAACGCCGGGUGAGUGGAGGAGGUUUUCGGAUCGGAAAACUCUGUUUGUAGGGAAGAACGUUGGUGAGGGUGAAAAGCUCAUCAAGUGACGGUAACUACCGAGAAAGGGACGGCUAACUACGUG